rnacentral:rRNA from 1 species
GACAGAGGGUGCAAACGUUGUUCGGAAUCACUGGGCGUAAAGCGUGUGUAGGCGGUUAGGUAAGUCGGAUGUGAAAGCCCUGGGCUCAACCUAGGAAGUGCACCCGAUACUGCCUGGCUAGAGUAUCGGAGAGGUUGGUGGAAUUCUCGGUGUAGAGGUGAAAUUCGUAGAUAUCGAGAAGAACAUCGGUGGCGAAGGCGACCAACUGGACGAAUACUGACGCUGAGACACGAAAGCGUGGGGAGCAAACAGG